GAUGAACGCUAGCUACAGGCUUAACACAUGCAAGUCGCGGGGCAGCAUGGGGGUUGCUUGCAACCCCCGAUGGCGACCGGCGCACGGGUGAGUAACGCGUAUCCAACCUGCCCUUCACCACGGGAUAACCCGGCGAAAGUCGGACUAAUACCGUAUGUUGUCCAUUGACGGCAUCCGAUUUGGACGAAAGGUUUGGCGGUGAAGGAUGGGGAUGCGUCCGAUUAGCCAGACGGCGGGGUAACGGCCCACCGUGGCGACGAUCGGUAGGGGUUCUGAGAGGAAGGUCCCCCACACUGGAACUGAGACACGGUCCAGACUCCUACGGGAGGCAGCAGUGAGGAAUAUUGGUCAAUGGGCGUAAGCCUGAACCAGCCAAGUAGCGUGCAGGAUGACGGCCCUAUGGGUUGUAAACUGCUUUUAUGCGGGGAUAAAGUGGCCCAUGUGUGGGCUUUUGCAGGUACCGCAUGAAUAAGGACCGGCUAAUUCCGUGCCAGCAGCCGCGGUAAUACGGAAGGUCCGGGCGUUAUCCGGAUUUAUUGGGUUUAAAGGGAGCGUAGGCCGCGCCUUAAGCGUGUUGUGAAAUCCGGGUGCUCAACAUCCGGCUUGCAGCGCGAACUGGGGCGCUUGAGUGCGCUGAAAGUAGGCGGAAUUCGUGGUGUAGCGGUGAAAUGCUUAGAUAUCACGAGGAACUCCGAUUGCGAAGGCAGCCUACUGUAGCGCUACUGACGCUGAUGCUCGAAAGCGUGGGUAUCGAACAGG
rnacentral:rRNA from 1 species